GAGUGAAUCAUGGCUAAGGAACUAGGCAAAAUUGCCCUGUAACUUCGGGAGAAGGGGCCCCCCGCUUAGGCGGGGGCGCAGUGAAAAGACCCAGGCGACUGUUUAUCAAAAACACAUGGCUUUGCGAAAUCGAAAGAUGAAGUAUAAGGCCUGACACCUGCCCGGUGCUGGAAGGUUAAGGGGGGAUGUUAU
rnacentral:rRNA from 1 species